rnacentral:lncRNA from 10 species
GCCACACCCCCUCUCCCCUGAAUUUGACUCACUCCUGGGCUUCGGGCCAGGCCAGGCCAGGGAGAUGCCUCUGGACCAGACGUCCCGUGCAUAGGAUAGAGACGGUCACUCUCCCCUCUCGGCGGCCUCCUGUCUGGCCAAGCAGCCCGGGUAAAGGUGAAGCAGCCGGGUACACGGUGCCCACUGCCCAGGCCACUGACCUGUCAGCUGAAUGUGCACCAGGGUCAGGGACGGCUGUGGGGUGGGCCCUGUCUGGUGAGCCCAGCCUGGGCAGCCAGCUAACAGGUCAGGGCCGUGAUGCACCGUGACAACCACGCCCAAGCAGUCUGAGCACGGCGCCUGGGCUCCUGGGGACAAGCCAGCCCCGUCCUGCAUGGCACAUAUCAGGAAGACCCGGCUCCAUCUAGCACAGAACCCAGACCCUGUCUCCCUGCUGAAGAAGAUGAUUCCCUUAUGAGUCAGGGCUGCUGGAUUGAGGGUGAUGCGCCCCCUGGCAGUCCUCACUGGCCUCUUCCAGGCUGGAAGUGUCCGUAUUUAGUGCUCCCCCACUGUGGCCUGGGCUCUGAGUGCAGAAUCCAGCACCUCCUUCCCACCCCUCGGGUGUAGGCAGCAGUUGACGAGAAAUUCAAGGGUGGACGCGCCAGCCUCAGACUCAGGAGAAGAAUCAGAAUCUGACCCCCGCAAUGGCCUCAAGAGCCCAGAAAGACAGGGCGUUUCAGCCCCAUUUCUCAGACCUGGAACCUGAGUGUAGGUGGAAGCCUAGGUUUGAACCCGGGUCUUUGUGGGGGAACUGAGGAUUCCCUCCAGCCCUAGCAGCAGCUGGGUCCCCACAGUCACUCCAGCCUGCUUCUCAGUGACUCGUGCCGAGCAGCCCUCAUGGCUGAGGGAGCCGGGGAGGUCCCUGCCCUCGCCAGGUCAUGCUGACGUGCAUCAGUGACACAGCCCUUGGCCCGAGGCUUCUCCUUGGUGCUCCUGACAUCUGGAGCUGACAUCUAGGGCCAGACUGGUCUCUGGGGUCCAGGCACUGU